UAGUCCACACUGUAAACGAUGGAUACUAGGUGUUGGCAAGCGAUUGUCAGUGCCGGCGCUAACGCAAUAAGUAUCCCACCUGGGGAGUACGACCGCAAGGUUGAAACUCAAAGGAAUUGACGGGGGCCCGCACAAGCAGUGGAGUAUGUUGUUUAACUCGACGCAACGCGAAGAACCUUACCAAGACUUGACAUAUACAGGAAUAGUUAAGAAAUUAGCUAGUUCUUCGGAACUUGUAUAC
rnacentral:rRNA from 1 species